GUCUACGGCCAUACCACGUUGAAAGCACCAGUUCUCGUCCGAUCACUGAAGUUAAGCAACGUCGGGCCCCAUCAGCUGAUUUCUUUUUACGUUAGUUUCUUAAGCGCCCUGUAAAAU
rnacentral:rRNA from 1 species